rfam:Schistosoma curassoni strain Dakar, Senegal genome assembly, scaffold: SCTD_scaffold0003090
AUCCAUCUGACGAGUCCCAAAUGAGACGAGACGUGUAUCCUGGAU